rnacentral:tRNA from 1 species
GAGGGUAGAGCUCAGUGGUAGAGCAUGUGCUUAGCAUGCACGAGGUCCUGGAUUCAAUCCCCACCACCUCCC